GAUGAACGCUGGCGGCGUGCCUAAUACAUGCAAGUCGAGCGAACAGACGAGGAGCUUGCUCCUCUGACGUUAGCGGCGGACGGGUGAGUAACACGUGGAUAACCUACCUAUAAGACUGGGAUAACUUCGGGAAACCGGAGCUAAUACCGGAUAAUAUCUUGAACCGCAUGGUUCAAUAGUGAAAGACGGUUUUGCUGUCACUUAUAGAUGGAUCCGCGCCGCAUUAGCUAGUUGGUAAGGUAACGGCUUACCAAGGCGACGAGGCGUAGCCGACCUGAGAGGGUGAUCGGCCACACUGGAACUGAGACACGGUCCAGACUCCUACGGGAGGCAGCAGUAGGGAAUCUUCCGCAAUGGGCGAAAGCCUGACGGAGCAACGCCGCGUGAGUGAUGAAGGUCUUCGGAUCGUAAAACUCUGUUAUUAGGGAAGAACAAAUGUGUAAGUAACUAUGCACGUCUUGACGGUACCUAAUCAGAAAGCCACGGCUAACUACGUG
rnacentral:rRNA from 1 species